rnacentral:rRNA from 1 species
GAGGAAUAUUGGUCAAUGGGCGCAAGCCUGAACCAGCCAUCCCGCGUGAAGGAAGAAUGCGCUACGCGUUGUAAACUUCUUUUCCAGGGGGAGAAUUUUCCUGUCGGGACAGGGAUUGACGGUACCCUGGGAAUAAGCAUCGGCUAACUCCGUGCCAGCAGCCGCGGUAAUACGGAGGAUGCGAGCGUUAUCCGGAUUUACUGGGUUUAAAGGGUGCGUAGGCGGAUUGAUAAGUCAGUGGUGAAAUUCUGCAGCUUAACUCUAGACUUGCCGUUGAUACUGUUAGUCUUGAGUGUGGUCAAGGCAGGCGGAAUGUGUAAUGUAGCGGUGAAAUGCUUAGAUAUUACACAGAACACCGAUUGCGAAGGCAGCUUGCUGGGUCAUUACUGACGCUGAUGCACGAAAGCGUGGGGAUCAAACAG